rnacentral:rRNA from 1 species
UAUGAGUUAGUGGCGGACGGGUGAGUAACGCGUGGGUAACCUGCCUUACACAGGGGGAUAACACCUGGAAACAGGUGCUAAUACCGCAUAAGCGCACAGGGCCGCAUGGCCCGGUGUGAAAAACUCCGGUGGUGUAAGAUGGACCCGCGUCUGAUUAGCUUGUUGGCGGGGUAGGGGCCCACCAAGGCGACGAUCAGUAGCCGGCCUGAGAGGGUGGACGGCCACAUUGGGACUGAGACACGGCCCAAACUCCUACGGGAGGCAGCAG